GGCGGGGUGGAGCAGCUUGGUAGCUCGUCGGGCUCAUAACCCGAAGGUCGUCGGUUCAAAUCCGGCCCCCGCAACCA
rnacentral:tRNA from 1 species